GAUGAACGCUGGCGGCGUGCCUAACACAUGCAAGUCGAGCGAAGCACUUUGCUUAGAUUCUUCGGAUGAAGAGGAUUGUGACUGAGCGGCGGACGGGUGAGUAACGCGUGGGUAACCUGCCUCAUACAGGGGGGUAACAGUUAGACAUGACUGCUAAUACCGCAUAAGACCACAGCACCGCAUGGUGCGGGGGUAAAAACUCCGGUGGUAUGAGAUGGACCCGCGUCUGAUUAGCUAGUUGGUAAGGUAACGGCUUACCAAGGCGACGAUCAGUAGCCGACUUGAGAGGGUGACCGGCCACAUUGGGACUGAGACACGGCCCAAACUCCUACGGGAGGCAGCAGUGGGGAAUAUUGCACAAUGGGGGAAACCCUGAUGCAGCGACGCCCCGUGAGCGAAGAAGUAUUUCGGUAUGUAAAGCUCUAUCAGCAGGGAAGAAAAUGACGGUACCUGACUAAGAAGCACCGGCUAAAUACGUGCCAGCAGCCGCGGUAAUACGUAUGGUGCAAGCGUUAUCCGGAUUUACUGGGUGUAAAGGGAGCGUAGACGGAUGGACAAGUCUGAUGUGAAAACCCGGGGCUCAACCCCGGGACUGCAUUGGAAACUGUUCAUCUAGAGUGCUGGAGAGGUAAGUGGAAUUCCUAGUGUAGCGGUGAAAUGCGUAGAUAUUAGGAGGAACACCAAUGGCGAAGGCGGCUUACUGGACAGUAGCUGACGUUGAGGCUCGAAAGCGUGGGGAGCAAACAGG
rnacentral:rRNA from 1 species